ACCAAGGAGUCUAACACGUGCGCGAGUCGACGGGACGUUUCUCGAACAGACCCGAAGGCGCAGUGAAAGCGGGACGGCCGGUUGUCGGGUCCGGCCGGAGGGGCUCGUCCCUUCCGAGCCGUCCCCCCGCUCCGGCCGAGUCCGGGGAAGAAGGCGAGCGAGGAAACUGAUCCAUCUUUUUUCUCGCCGCCCGCACUCCCAGGGCGCCUCGGCUCAUGCCGCAGGCGCACCCCGAGCGUACGCGUUGGGACCCGAAAGAUGGUGAACUAUGCCUGGCCAGGACGAAGUCAGGGGAAACCCUGAUGGAGGUCCGCAGCGAUUCUGACGUGCAAAUCGAUCGUCAGAGCCGGGUAUAGGGGCGAAAGACUAAUCGAACGAUCUAGUAGCUGGUUCCCUCCGAAGUUUCCCUCAGGAUAGCUGGCGCCCGUUUGGAACGGGACGAGUCUCAUCCGGUAAAGCGAAUGAUUAGAGGCCUUGGGGCCGAAACGACCUCAACCUAUUCUCAAACUUUAAAUGGGUGAGAACGAUGGCUUGCUCGAAGACUGUGAAGCCGUCGCGUCGGAUGAGGGCGCCAAGUGGGCCAUUUUUGGUAAGCAGAACUGGCGCUGUGGGAUGAACCAAACGCCGGGUUAAGGCGCCUAAACCGGAGCUUAUGGGAAACCAUGAAAGGCGUUGGUUGCUUAAGACAGCAGGUCGGUGGCCAUGGAAGUCGGAACCCGCCAAGGAGUGUGUAACAACUCACCUGCCGAAGCAACUAGCCCUGAAAAUGGAUGGCGCUAAAGCUCCGUGCCUAUACCCGGCCGCCGGAAGGCAAGGGCGGUCGGAAUUUCCGGCCGCGCGAAGCCCCGGCGAGUAGGAGGGCGCGGCGGCGAGCGCGGAAGGGUCGGGGCGCGAGCCUGCCUGGAGCCGCCGCCGGUGCAGAUCUUGGUGGUAGUAGCAAAUACUCGAGCGAGGGCCUCGAGGGCUGAUGUGGAGAAGGGUUUCGUGUGAACAGCCGUUGCACACGAGUCAGUCGAUCCUAAGCCCUAGGAGAAAUCCGAUGUCGAUGGGAGUCGCUUUGCCGACGAACAACGCUCCCGUCGGGCGAAAGGGAAUCCGGUUCCUAUUCCGGAACCCGGCUGCGGAACCGUUUCUUCGGGCCCUCCCUCUCAAAAGGAAAGAGGAGCUCGUCGGGGUAACCCAAAAGGACCCGGAGACGCCGUCGGGAGACCCGGGCAGAGUUUUCUGUUCCGCAUAAGCGUUCGAGUUCCCUGGAAUCCUCCAGCAGGGAGAUAGGGUUUGGAACGCGAAGAGCACCGCAGUUGCGGCGGUGUCCGGGUCGUCCCCUCGGACCUUGAAAAUCCGGGAGAGGGCCACGCGGAGGCGUCGCGCCGGUUCGUACCCAUAUCCGCAGCAGGUCUCCGAGG
rnacentral:rRNA from 1 species